UACGUAGGGUGCAAGCGUUGUCCGGAAUUAUUGGGCGUAAAGAGCUUGUAGGCGGUUUGUCGCGUCUGCUGUGAAAUUUCGGGGCUCAACCCCGAACUUGCAGUGGGUACGGGCAGACUAGAGUGUGGUAGGGGAGACUGGAAUUCCUGGUGUAGCGGUGAAAUGCGCAGAUAUCAGGAGGAACACCGGUGGCGAAGGCGGCUAUCUGGACAGAGUCUGACGCUGAGGCGCGAAAGCUAGGGGAGCAAACAGG
rnacentral:rRNA from 1 species